GAUGAAGAACGCAGCGAAAUGCGAUAAGUAAUGUGAAUUGCAGAAUUCAGUGAAUCAUCGAAUCUUUGAACGCACAUUGCGCCCGCCAGUAUUCUGGCGGGCAUGCCUGUUCGAGCGUCAUUACAACCCUCAGGCCCCCGGGCCUGGCGUUGGGGAUCGGCGGAGCCCCCCGUGGGCACACGCCGUCCCCCAAAUGCAGUGGCGGUCCCGCCGCAGCUUCCAUCGCGUAGUAGCUAACACCUCGCGACUGGAGAGCGGCGCGGCCACGCCGUAAAACACCCAACUCUUCUGAAGUUGCCCUCGAAUCAGGUAGGAAUACCCGCUGAACUUAAGCAUAUCAAUAAGCGGAGGA
rnacentral:misc_RNA from 1 species